rnacentral:lncRNA from 1 species
CUCCCUUCAAUUAAAUAACUUGGUUGCAGUAGGGAGAGAUUAAGUGGGCACUUAGAGACAGCUCAAUCCAUUCUCCAUGGGAUGCAAUGAAGUAUCAGCGCAUCUGAGUGUACCUGGGACUCUGAGAAGUUUGAAUCUACCUCAGUUAUCAAGUGGUUAUCAGGGGUAGAUGCUGUAAUAUUGGAACAUACCAAAGCCUGGGUUAUUCGACUCCUAAAAUAUCAUAAGGUAGCUCUGAGUUAUCUAUACCUUUCUGAUUGUUACUUAUGAGCAGCUAUGUGUAUCACACAUGAACAUUAGAACCAGAGUUUUCAAACUUCCAACUGUGACUGUUAAUAAUUAGAACAAAAAUUUUGAGCAUUAAUUCUGAACCCUAUUUUAAAUGCUUUACUUAAAUGGAAUGCAGACAGCAGUUCUAAUGAAACACAUGUUCUGUACAUGGUAUGUUUAAUUGUGGAUGGGAGACUAGUUUUCCCAGAAGGUCUGAGACAGAACUCCUGUGAGUCUCAACCUUCAUCAGGUAGCCAGAUCCUUGGAGACAUCCAAACCAUUUGCCAGGGUUAUAAAAUGACAGCUUUUUUAUUUCAAUUCUACUUUCCACUCAGGAUUUAGUGCUGACUGAAGGUCUAUUUAUAUAAGGCGAAAGGAACAGCUUCCAAAUUCACAGAAUAGGCAUAGUUCCUAAAGCACGGUUGAGAUUAGAGGCCACGGGAGUGUAGCCUUUCUACUUCAGAAGACUUGGCUUGAGUGGAUGCAUCCCUCAGAACACAUCACUUUUCUUUCCUAUGUCUGUUUGGUAAAAAUUAUUCACGAAUAUCAUAAUUUCAUUUAAAAGGGCAUUGAGGAAGGCAUGGGUAUACUAUCUAGUAAUGGUGUGGGAUGAACUGUGAGGAAGCUAGCCUUUGCAGGUCUUUUUCCCUGUAAACAUCCCAGAGAGAAGAUUUAUCUGCAGCAAAGAGUUUGUGUAGACCACAGUCAUUGUUGUGGUUUAUGCUAGGAUACAACACCCUGCCCAUAUCCCUAGAAAUCUGGAGGAAAGGGUCCAUCAUUCUCUGCCAUGUUCAAGGCUCAGGUGAGUGGGGACCAGAAGGUUGGUUCCCAGUGCAUCCUUCAACUGUCGAGGAGCCCUGCAGCCAGUGAAGUAUUGAAAUGAAGCAGAACUGAGUGAGGAUUGUUGAGAAGACACAACUCAUCCUCCCCUGCUGGUUCAGGAAUGAAUUAAACUCAUAAGGACUGCAAACUUCUAUG